rnacentral:tRNA from 1 species
GGCGCUAUAGUGUAGUGGUUAUCACUUGGGAUUCUGACCUUUCUGAGUUCCCAAAACCCAGGUUCGAGCCCUGGUAGCGCCU